AACGCGAAGAACCUUACCAGGUCUUGACAUCCCUCUGACCGUCCUAGAGAUAGGGCUUCCCUUCGGGGCAGAGGAGACAGGUGGUGCAUGGUUGUCGUCAGCUCGUGUCGUGAGAUGUUGGGUUAAGUCCCGCAACGAGCGCAACCCUUGAUCUUAGUUGCCAGCACUUCGGGUGGGCACUCUAGGAUGACUGCCGGUGACAAACCGGAGGAAGGUGGGGAUGACGUCAAAUCAUCAUGCCCCUUAUGACCUGGGCUACACACGUACUACAAUGGCCGGUACAACGGGAUGCGAAAGGGCGACCUGGAGCGAAUCUUAGAAAGCCGGUCUCAGUUCGGAUUGCAGGCUGCAACUCGCCUGCAUGAAGUCGGAAUUGCUAGUAAUCGCGGAUCAGCAUGCCGCGGUGAAUACGUUCCCGGGCCUUGUA
rnacentral:rRNA from 1 species